rnacentral:rRNA from 1 species
CGUAGGUGGCAAGCGUUGUCCGGAUUUAUUGGGUUUAAAGGGUGCGUAGGCGGUCCCAUAAGUCAGUGGUGAAAUACUCUAGCUUAACUAGAGGGGUGCCAUUGAUACUGUUGGACUUGAGUAGAGUUGAAGUGGGCGGAAUUGACGGUGUAGCGGUGAAAUGCUUAGAUAUCGUCAAGAACACCGAUAGUGAAGACAGCUCACUAAGCUCAAACUGACGCUGAGGCGCGAAAGUGUGGGGAUCAAACAGGAUUAGAUACCCUGGUAGUCCACACUGUAAACGUUGAUUACUCGCUGUUGGCGAUACACAGCCAGCGGCCAAGCGCAAGCGAUAAGUAAUCCACCUGGGGAGUACGCCGGCAACGGUG